rnacentral:rRNA from 1 species
AUUGAACGCUGGCGGCAGGCCUAACACAUGCAAGUCGAACGAGUGGCGGACGGGUGGGCAAUGUCUGGGAAACGGCCUGAUGGAGGGGGUUCACUACUGGAAACGGAAACUAAUACCGCAUACCAUCGGAUGUGCCCAGGUGGGAUUAGCUAGUAGGUGGGGUAAAGGCUCACCUAGGCGACGAUCCCUAGCUGGGCUGAGAGGAUGACCAGCCACACUGGAACUGAGACACGGUCCAGACUCCUACGGGAGGCAGCAGUGGGGAAUAUUGCACAAUGGGCGAAAGCCUGAUGCAGCCAUGCCGCGUGUGUGAAGAAGGCCUUCGGGUUGUAAAGUACUUUCAGCGGGGAGGCGUUACCCGCAGAAGAAGCACCGGCUAACUCCGUGCCAGCAGCCGCGGUAAUUC